rnacentral:rRNA from 1 species
CGAGCACGCGCGUGUGGCAUAUCAAUAAGCGGAGGAAAAGAAACUAACAAGGGUUCCCUUAGUAACGGCGAGUGAAGCGGGAAGAGCUCAAAUUUGAAAUCUUCAAGGUUCUACCUUGACGAAUUGUAGUUUAAAGAAGUGUUUUCUGUUAGUGGAGUGGCAAAAGUUCUUUGGAAUAGGACAUCAUAGAGGGUGAGAAUCCCGUAUUUGGUCAUUCCUUCUAGCUUUGUGAUACACUUUCAGAGAGUCGGAUUGUUUGGGAAUGCAGUCCAAAAUGGGUGGUAAAUUUCAUCUAAAGCUAAAUAUUGGCGAGAGACCGAUAGCGAACAAGUACCGUGAGGGAAAGAUGAAAAGAACUUUGAAAAGAGAGUUAAACAGUACGUGAAAUUGUCAAAAGGGAAGCGUUUGACACCAGUGUUGUUUUUCCGAAAAUCAAUUACGAAUGUUUUGUUUUUAAGAAGUUAUGACUUCAUCGGCUUGCUUCUUUCUUUACGAAACUUUCUUAAUGCACUUUUCGGUUAACAAGUCAACAUCAAUUUCUUUUGUUGUAAAAGGGUAUGAGGAAGGUGGCUUUCUCUUCGGCGCAAGUGUUUAUAGCCUUGUACCUCUAGCAAUCGGAGAGAUUGAGGUACAUGCAGCGUAGACUCUUCGGGGUUAGAUACAUUUGUGCUAAGUUAUAGCUUUUCAUAGACAACUUGUUGACUAUGUUUAGUCUUGUAGCUUACUCGCUUAUGCUAUUUUACCUACGCUUAGGAUGUUGAUGUGAUACUGCGAGCA